CCUACGGGUGGCAGCAGUGAGGAAUAUUGGUCAAUGGGCGGAAGCCUGAACCAGCCAAGUCGCGUGAGGGAAUAAGGCCCUACGGGUCGUAAACCUCUUUUGCCGGGGAGCAAGGGCGGGGACGUGUCCCGGCCCGGAGAGUACCCGGAGAAAAAGCAUCGGCUAACUCCGUGCCAGCAGCCGCGGUAAUACGGAGGAUGCGAGCGUUAUCCGGAUUUAUUGGGUUUAAUGGGUGCGUAGGCGGGCUUUUAAGUCAGCGGUAAAAAUUCGGGGCGCAACCCCGUCCGGCCGUUGAAACUGGGGGCCGUGAGUGGGCGAGAAGAAGGCGGAAUGCGUGGGGUAGCGGGGAAAUGCAUAGAGAUCACGCAGAACCCCGAUUGCGAAGGCAGCCUGCCGGGGUGCGACUGACGCUGAGGCUCGAAGGUGCGGGUAUCAAACAGGAUUAGAUACCCCUGUAGUC
rnacentral:rRNA from 1 species